ensembl:lncRNA
CCCCUCCCCGCGUCCGUGGCGCGCGCGGCUGCCGGCUCUCUCCCAGGGGCGCCGCGGAGGGUGCGGUCCCGAGCUGGGCGAGGCUUCCUGCGGGCGCCGCGCGCGAGAGACUCCGCUCCUGGGCUCUGCAGUUUCUCCUUGGCCCGCCCAGGAAUAGACACCCACAAAGGGAAGAAAAAGAGAAAACGUUUUCUCUAGGGCCCUUCGCGGGGAAGGCAGCGGCUGCAGCAGUUCUGGAGGAAACUAAAUCCAGUUCAACAACUUACCCAAGGUCACAAAGCAAGGAGAUUGAUUUUGUACUUCUUCGCUGAAUCAGAACUGCUUCUGCUCUUAUGUCUCAGUCGGGCACAGAGAUGCGUUCUAAUAGUUGAUGCUGUGUACACAGUGUAACAAGAAAUUAAGAAUCCAUAGAGACAGAAGGUCACUUGGCAGAGAGCCACUGGGACAGUGACUGCCUCUGCCCUUGGGAUAUUGAUGCGACCUGCUUCUAUGGGAGAAAAGCCAAUCAAAGAGGGAGGGAACAUGUAUAUGACUGAUUCAUGUUGCUGUACAACAGAAACCAACACAACAUUGUAAACC